AUGGUUUUCAAGACCCAGUUGUACACACUGACUGGUGUACCCCCGGAACGGCAAAAAAUUAUGGUGAAGGGUGGAAUAUUGAAGGAUGAGACAGAUUGGUCUACUUUGGGACUUAAAGAUGGUCAAAAGUUGAUGAUGAUAGGUACGGCUGAUGAAAUUGUGAAAGCUCCAGAGAAAGGCCCUGUGUUUGUUGAAGAUUUACCAGAAGAAGAGCAAGCGGCUGCAUUGGGGCAUACUGCUGGUCUCUAUAACUUGGGGAAUACAUGUUACAUGAAUUCCACUCUUCAGUGUCUGCAUUCUGUUCCAGAGCUUAAGUCAGCAUUACUGAGUUAUUCAGAUAACGUGAGGGGCAAUGGGGUGGAUCAAGCAUCCCAUAGUUUAACAGUUGCAACUCGUAAUACUUUCGGAGAGCUUGAUCAAAGCGUUCGACCAGUUGCACCUCUUCACUUCUUACAGAUGCUGCGGAAAAAAUACCCCCAAUUUGCUCAACAGCAAAAUAAUGUUUACAUGCAGCAGGACGCAGAGGAGUGCUGGACACAGCUGAUCUAUACGCUUUCUCAAACACUUACAUCAGAAGCAAGUGAACCUACUGCUGCUCAGAUGAAGGAACUUUUCGGGAUUGAUCUUGUGAGCAGGGUACACUGUGCAGAAAGUGGUGAGGAGAGUUCAGAGGCAGAGUCGGUUUAUUCUCUGAAGUGCCAUAUAUCUCAUGAUGUAAACCACCUUCAUGAAGGACUGAAGCAUGGUUUGAAGACAGAACUUGAGAAGGUUUCCCCAUCACUGGGCCGGACUGCUAUUUACACAAGAGAGUCGAGAAUAAAUGAGUUGCCUAGGUACUUGACUGUGCAGUUUGUUCGUUUCUUUUGGAAAAGGGAGUCAAACCAAAAGGCGAAGAUUUUACGUAAAGUGGAUUACCCUCUGGAGCUUGAUGUCUAUGACUUCUGCUCGGAUGAGUUGAAACUAAAACUUCAAACUCCUCGACAGGUGCUGAGAGAUGCAGAAAGUGCCAGGUUUGGUUUGAAAGUAGAGGUGAAAACAAGCAGCUCACAGAAUAUCGAGGGGUCAUCAACUAGUGCUGGGGAAUCAUCUAGCAUGGACAUUGACAAAGCUGAUUCUUCUGUGCCAAAGAAACAAUUAACUGGCAUCUAUGAUUUAAUUGCUGUCUUGACACACAAGGGAAGAAGUGCAGAUUCUGGCCACUACGUUGGCUGGGUUAAGCAAGAUGAUGGAAAAUGGAUUGAGUUUGAUGACGACAACCCAAGCAUACGGAAGGAGGAAGAGAUUUUGAAACUAUCUGGUGGAGGCGACUGGCACAUGGCAUAUAUCUGCCUUUACAAAGCUCGUGUUAUCUGA
rnacentral:rRNA from 1 species